GAUUCCACAAAGGCAAAGGGGAAGCUUACAUGAAGCAGACCUGAGUUCCUGCUAUUACUUAUGUGCAACAUCAGAAAGAGAAUUCCAUGGUUUGAGGCUCACCAUAUGAAGGAAUGUUUUCCUGGAAAGCUCUUCUUCUCCAGUCUGGCAUUCAUCCUUCUGAAACAUUUACCCUUCUGUCAGCUGGUCCUCUGGCCUAUUAAAACCAGAUCCCAGGUAAGGUCCCGAUGUCUACCUUGCAAAGGUAUUGGAUGGGGUAUCCUUUUGACUGGGAAAUGAAACGUUGAUGUCCUGUGAAGGAAAAUUUAAUCCCCAGUAUGGUGGACAAGGAAAGCAUUGUUUUUGUUUGUUUCCUUUCUUUUUGUGUUUAAACUAGUAGGGUGUGGAGGACAGGGGAGAAGUGCCCUAUCCACAGUGCCUGAGGACAGCUUAGCAACCCAGGAGUGUGUAGAAAGAAACUGGCUUAGCUCGUAUAGGAAGUUCUGUAGGAAACAUUCAUGGGCUCUGAGAAGUUGCAUUUCUAUCAAUGGGAGAUUUUCGUUUUUUUUAACUUUUUUGAAGUGUGGAGAUUUAAUUUUCUCAAGAGUAAAAGUUUAACGAGUACUGUUUUCUUUUAGUUGAAGUUGAUGUCUCAUCCAGCCUUAAUGUUGCUAGUAGCAGGGCUAU